AUUGAACGCUGGCGGCAGGCCUAACACAUGCAAGUCGAGCGAGCGGCGGACGGGUGAGAAAUGUGUGGGGAUCUGCGUGCUGGAGGGGGAUAAAUACUGGAAAAGGUAGCUAAUAGCGCAUCCCAUCAGAUGAACCGAUAUGGGAUUAGCUAGUAGGGGAGGUAACGGCUCACCUAGGCUACGAUCCCUAGCUGGUCUGAGAGGAUGAUCAGCCACACUGGGACUGAGACACGGCCCAGACUCCUACGGGAGGCAGCAGUGGGGAAUAUUGCACAAUGGGCGCAAGCCUGAUGCAGCCAUGCCGCGUGUAUGAAGAAGGCCUUCGGGUUGUAAAGUACUUUCAGUCGGGAGGCGUUACCGACAGAAGAAGCACCGGCUAACUCCGUGCCAGCAGCCGCGGUAAUUC
rnacentral:rRNA from 1 species